AUUGAACGCUGGCGGCAGGCCUAACACAUGCAAGUCGAGCGGAUGAAGGGAGCUUGCUCCUGGAUUCAGCGGCGGACGGGUGAGUAAUGCCUAGGAAUCUGCCUGGUAGUGGGGGAUAACGUCCGGAAACGGGCGCUAAUACCGCAUACGUCCUGAGGGAGAAAGUGGGGGUUCUUCGGACCUCACGCUAUCAGAUGAGCCUAGGUCGGAUUAGCUAGUUGGUGGGGUAAAGGCCUACCAAGGCGACGAUCCGUAACUGGUCUGAGAGGAUGAUCAGUCACACUGGAACUGAGACACGGUCCAGACUCCUACGGGAGGCAGCAGUGGGGAAUAUUGGACAAUGGGCGAAAGCCUGAUCCAGCCAUGCCGCGUGUGUGAAGAAGGUCUUCGGAUUGUAAAGCACUUUAAGUUGGGAGGAAGGGCAGUAAGUUAAUACCUUGCUGUUUUGACGUUACCAACAGAAUAAGCACCGGCUAACUUCGU
rnacentral:rRNA from 1 species